ACCAGACUCCUACGGGAGGCAGCAGUGGGGGAUAUUGCACAAUGGGGGGAACCCUGAUGCAGCGACGCCGCGUGGGUGAAGAAGCGCCUCGGCGCGUAAAGCCCUGUCAGCAGGGAAGAAAAUGACGGUACCUGAAGAAGAAGCCCCGGCUAACUACGUGCCAGCAGCCGCGGUAAUACGUAGGGGGCAAGCGUUAUCCGGAUUUACUGGGGGUAAAGGGGGCGCAGACGGCGAUGCAAGCCAGGAGUGAAAGGCCGGGGGCCAACCCCGGGACUGCUCUUGGAACUGCGUGGCUGGAGUGCAGGAGGGGCAGGCGGAAUUCCUAGUGUAGCGGUGAAAUGCGUAGAUAUUAGGAGGAACACCAGUGGCGAAGGCGGCCUGCUGGACGAUGACUGACGUUGAGGCUCGAAAGCGUGGGGAGCAAACAGGAUUAGAUACCCGGGUAGAA
rnacentral:rRNA from 1 species